rnacentral:lncRNA from 1 species
CAAGUAUUUAAUGCAGUGCCUAUUGUAGCCUACAGACCUGCUAGUUGACCAAUCACAAAAGUGAAGAAAAAAAUAGUUUUUAUAAAUAUUUCAUGCAAUUUUACCUAAUUUGACAUAUUAACAGAAUAUUUUUUUAAUACCACAUAAAUGACUGAAAUUACAACGUAAGAAAGAUGAGAUGAACACACCAGGCCUAUCAUAUUUCUCCAAUGCUAAAGCAGUAUGUGGUGUUUACAACAUAACUGAUCCUGUUUGUAAAUAAUUAAAUAGUCAACGUCAUUAGGAAUCUCAGUAUGUUUUGUACUUAGGCCUACCAGAAGUUAGGCCUACCUUUCCACCCCAGACAGUAGGUCCUACCUUUCCACCCCAGACAGUAGGUCCUACCGUUCCACCCCAGACAGUAGGUCCUCCCUUUCCACCCCAGACAGUAGGUCCUACCUUUCCACCCCAGACAGUAGGUUCUACCUUUCCACCCCAGACAGUAGGUUCUACCUUUCCACCCCAGACAGUAGGUCCUACCUUUCCACCCCAGACAGUAGGUUCUACCUUUCCACCCCAGACAGUAGGUCCUACCUUUCCACCCC